UACGGGGGGGGGCAAGCGUUGUUCGGAAUUACUGGGCGUAAAGGGCUCGUAGGUGGCCAACUAAGUCAUACGUGAAAUCCCUCGGCUUAACCGGGGAACUGCGUCUGAUACUGGAUGGCUUGAGUUUGGGAGAGGGAUGCGGAAUUCCAGGUGUAGCGGUGAAAUGCGUAGAUAUCUGGAGGAACACCGGUGGCGAAGGCGGCAUCCUGGACCAAUACUGACACUGAGGAGCGAAAGCCAGGGGAGCAAACGGGGAGUUAGAAACCCUU
rnacentral:rRNA from 1 species